rnacentral:rRNA from 1 species
CUGGUUGAUCCUGCCAGUAGUCAUAUGCUUGUCUCAAAGAUUAAGCCAUGCAUGUCUAAGUAUAAGCAAUUAUACCGCGAAACUGCGAAUGGCUCAUUAUAUAAGUUAUCGUUUAUUUGAUAGUACCUUACUACUUGGAUAACCGUGGUAAUUCUAGAGCUAAUACAUGCUAAAAAUCCCGACUUCGGAAGGGAUGUAUUUAUUAGAUUAAAAACCAAUGCCCUUCGGGGCUCACUGGUGAUUCAUGAUAACUCCUCGAAUCGCAUGGCCUUGUGCCGGCGAUGGUUCAUUCAAAUUUCUUCCCUAUCAACUUUCGAUGUUUGGGUAUUGGCCAAACAUGGUUGCAACGGGUAACGGAGGGUUAGGGCUCGACCCCGGAGAAGGAGCCUGAGAAACGGCUACUACAUCCAAGGAAGGCAGCAGGCGCGCAAAUUACCCAAUCCCGACACGGGGAGGUAGUGACAAUAAAUACUGAUACAGGGCUCUUUUGGGUCUUGUAAUUGGAAUGAGUACAAUUUAAAUCCCUUAACGAGGAACAAUUGGAGGGCAAGUCUGG